GGCUUGGUGGCCUAAUGGUAAGGCGUUGCUUUCCGGUGUAUCAUGCAGGAACUGGCAAAGACUGUGGGUUCGAGUCCCAUCCAGGUCG
rnacentral:tRNA from 1 species